ACGGGUGAGUAACACGUGGGCAAUCUGCCCUUCACUCUGGGACAAGCCCUGGAAACGGGGUCUAAUACCGGAUAUCACUUCCACUCGCAUGGGUGGGGGUUGAAAGCUCCGGCGGUGAAGGAUGAGCCCGCGGCCUAUCAGCUUGUUGGUGAGGUAAUGGCUCACCAAGGCGACGACGGGUAGCCGGCCUGAGAGGGCGACCGGCCACACUGGGACUGAGACACGGCCCAGACUCCUACGGGAGGCAGCAGUGGGGAAUAUUGCACAAUGGGCGAAAGCCUGAUGCAGCGACGCCGCGUGAGGGAUGACGGCCUUCGGGUUGUAAACCUCUUUCAGCAGGGAAGAAGCGAAAGUGACGGUACCUGCAGAAGAAGCGCCGGCUAACUACGUGCCAGCAGCCGCGGUAAUACGUAGGGCGCGAGCGUUGUCCGGAAUUAUUGGGCGUAAAGAGCUCGUAUGCGGCUUGUCACGUCAGGAGUGAAAGACCGGGGCUUAACUCCGGUUCUGCAUUCGAUACGGGCUAGCUAGAGUGUGGUACGGGAGAUCGGAAUUCCUGGUGUUUGUUGAUAUGUCAUAUAUCA
rnacentral:rRNA from 1 species